GGGGUGGAAGGUUGUUGUUUCUAAGUCCCACAUUGAUUAGAUGAGGGAAGAGAAGAGGUGCCUUCAUGUAUAAAAAGGAGGGGGUGUGUGCAUUAGGAAGCAUGAGAGGCUAAGAUGCAAUUUAGAGAAAAUUGCAACUUUGGGCCCAAAGGUUUGAAUAAUUAAAUUCAAACCUAUAGUUUUUUUUUAAUAUAAUUUUGGGACUCACAAUCCCAUUUUUAUAUUAUUUUUCUCUCUUCCUCUCAUGUUGCUCGGCGUUUUCUUGCAAGGGGAGAUUAUUUUCUUUUUUCUUCAGAUUAUAUUGACAAAGAUAGUGGUGAAAAAGGAGUUGUGAAGGGGAACUUGUUAUUCAAGACACAAGGAGCGAAUCCGGCCGAGAAAGCACCAGAGGUGUAAUUAUGGUGUAUGAGACACCAUCUUUUACGUUGCCUCUUAUUUUGGAUUAUACAAUAUAUCUUGUGCCAACUUAGG